rnacentral:rRNA from 1 species
GACGUAGGGCGCGAGCGUUGUCCGGAUUUAUUGGGCGUAAAGAGCUCGUAGGCGGUCUGUCGCGUCUGCUGUGAAAACUCAGGGCUUAACCCUGAGCUUGCAGUGGGUACGGGCAGACUAGAGUGCGGUAGGGGAGACUGGAAUUCCCGGUGUAGCGGUGAAAUGCGUAGAGAUCGGGAGGAAUACCUAUGGCGAAAGCAGGCUUCUGGGCCGUCACUGACGCUGAUCUGCGAAAGCUAGGGGAGCAAACAGG